AUGCUCACUUCAGCAGCACAUAUACUAAAAUUGGAGCAAUACAGAUAAAUUAGCAUGGCCCCUUAAGCAAGGGAUUUUUCCAGUAGUCAUGUAUGGAUGUGAAAGUUGU
ensembl:snRNA U6 U6 spliceosomal RNA